ACGGGAGGCAGCAGUGGGGAAUCUUCCGCAAUGGGCGACAGCCUGACGGAGCAACGCCGCGUGAGUGAAGAAGGUCUUCGGAUCGUAAAGCUCUGUUGAGAGGGACGAGAGAUUACUUCAGGAAAUGGGAGUAAGAGGACGGUACCUUUCGAGGAAGCCACGGCUAACUACGUGCCAGCAGCCGCGGUAAUACGUAGGUGGCGAGCGUUGUCCGGAAUUAUUGGGCGUAAAGGGAGCGCAGGUGGGACUUCAAGGCAGUCGUAAAAGUGCGGGGCUCAACCCCGUGAUGGGAUUGAAACUGGAGUUCUUGAGGGCAGGAGAGGAAAGCGGAAUUCCUAGUGUAGCGGUGAAAUGCGUAGAUAUUAGGGGGAACACCAGUGGCGAAGGCGGCUUUCUGGACUGUAACUGACACUGAGGCUCGAAAGCGUGGGGAGCGAACAGGAUUAGAUACCCUGGUA
rnacentral:rRNA from 1 species